CACUCAUAACCAUAAGAUAAUUAAAACGGGGGGGGGGCAGGGUAAAAAAAAAACCCUUUUAUCAGCCAUAGGUUAAUGCAAGUGUUUAACAGAUGCUUCGCUAUUAAAAUAUUUCCCCCCAAUACUGAAGAAUCUUAAACCAGCAACCCUAACAGAGAUUGCGAAGAUUUUCAAAGUGGGGCACCUCGAUUUCUCGAAUCUGUGGUGUGGCGAAUAUCCGUGUUCCUCCUGCUUAACUAGCCUGUUUGGCAGGUCUGAUUCUAUUUAUUCUAAAGACAGAGUUGGAGAUGGGCUACCAUUGGUGUUGAUUGAGAUGACAAGCAGUCACCUGAGCCCAUACAGCUGGGUUCACAGAUGUGGCUACUCUUGCUAGCCAGCUCACACUGUGGAAAUUCUAGGGAACUGACUGCAGUCCUCAUGCUUGGAGUCAAACACUUUAACCACUGCACACGUUUAUGUAAUAGGAUUGACAUAUGAGAAUCAGAGAAAUGAAUGAAAGAUUAGAGGUAAGCAAGAGC
ensembl:processed_transcript